UAGGGAAUCUUCGGCAAUGGACGAAAGUCUGACCGAGCAACGCCGCGUGAGUGAAGAAGGUUUUCGGAUCGUAAAACUCUGUUGUUAGAGAAGAACAAGGACGUUAGUAACUGAACGUCCCCUGACGGUAUCUAACCAGAAAGCCACGGCUAACUACGUGCCAGCAGCCGCGGUAAUACGUAGGUGGCAAGCGUUGUCCGGAUUUAUUGGGCGUAAAGCGAGCGCAGGCGGUUUCUUAAGUUUGAUGUGAAAGCCCCCGGCUCAACCGGGGAGGGUCAUUGGAAACUGGGAGACUUGAGUGCAGAAGAGGAGAGUGGAAUUCCAUGUGUAGCGGUGAAAUGCGUAGAUAUAUGGAGGAACACCAGUGGAGAAGGCGGCUCUCUGGUCUGUAACUGACGCUGAGGCUCGAAAGCGUGGGGAGCAAACAGG
rnacentral:rRNA from 1 species